rnacentral:rRNA from 1 species
AGUGAACGCUGGCGGUAGGCCUAACACAUGCAAGUCGAACGGCAGCACAGUAAGAGCUUGCUCUUACGGGUGGCGAGUGGCGGACGGGUGAGGAAUACAUCGGAAUCUACUUUUUCGUGGGGGAUAACGUAGGGAAACUUACGCUAAUACCGCAUACGACCUACGGGUGAAAGCAGGGGAUCUUCGGACCUUGCGCGAUUGAAUGAGCCGAUGUCGGAUUAGCUAGUUGGCGGGGUAAAGGCCCACCAAGGCGACGAUCCGUAGCUGGUCUGAGAGGAUGAUCAGCCACACUGGAACUGAGACACGGUCCAGACUCCUACGGGAGGCAGCAGUGGGGAAUAUUGGACAAUGGGCGCAAGCCUGAUCCAGCCAUACCGCGUGGGUGAAGAAGGCCUUCGGGUUGUAAAACCCUUUUAUUAGGAAAGAAAAACAGCAGGUUAAUACCCCGCUGUUCUGACGGUACCCAAAGAAUAAGCACCGGCUAACUUCGUG